AUGUCCGCGGUGGUCUCCCUCUCUAAAGUCAACAAUCUGCGUGCCGCUCUCACCAACGCCCAGAAGGGCACACAAUCUGCAUCAGCAUACUUCGGCUACUUGUGUUCCCUCUCCGACGAGCUCGCGGCGGCGUGGAGACCACUUGGAGAGCCAAAACUCAUCUCGUUCAUCGUUGUCGGUCUGGACAUGGACUAUCAACCACUUAUCUCUGUGCUUGAUGUCUGCACCGAGCCCAUCAGGGUGGAUCUUCUCUUCUCCCUGGUGGCCAACUUCGACCAGUGGGUCGAGCUAUAUCAUGGCAAUGGUUCUGGUGGCUUCAAGUCUUCAACAAACUUGGCCUCGCGAGGACGAUAG
rnacentral:rRNA from 1 species